rnacentral:rRNA from 1 species
GAUGAACGCUAGCUACAGGCUUAACACAUGCAAGUCGAGGGGAAACGAUGAGAGAGCUUGCUCUCUUAGUCGUCGACCGGCGCACGGGUGAGUAACGCGUAUCCAACCUGCCUCUGACCAAGGGAUAACCCGUCGAAAGUCGGACUAAUACCUUAUGCAGUCGUCGGAAGUCAUCUGAUGACGACGAAAGAUUUCAUCGGUGAGAGAUGGGGAUGCGUCUGAUUAGCUUGUUGGCGGGGUAACGGCCCACCAAGGCGACGAUCAGUAGGGGUUCUGAGAGGAAGGUCCCCCACAUUGGAACUGAGACACGGUCCAAACUCCUACGGGAGGCAGCAGUGAGGAAUAUGGGUCAAUGGGCGUAAGCCUGAACCAGCCAAGUAGCGUGCAGGAUGACGGCCCUAUGGGUUGUAAACUGCUUUUAUGCGGGGAUAAAGUGAGGGACGUGUCCUUCAUUGCAGGUACCGCAUGAAUAAGGACCGGCUAAUUCCGUG